GACUCCGUAGCUCAGUUGGUAGAGCAAAUGACUCUUAAUCAUUGGGUCGAGGGUUCGAGUCCCUCCGGGGUCA
rnacentral:tRNA from 8 species